UGAAACCAGAUAUGACUUAGUGGCGGACGGGUGAGUAACGCGUGAGGAACCUGCCUUUCAGAGGGGGACAACAGUUGGAAACGACUGCUAAUACCGCAUAACAUAUAGAUGUCGCAUGGCAUUUAUAUCAAAGAUUUAUCGCUUAAAGAUGGGCUCGCGUCUGAUUAGAUAGUUGGUAGGGUAACGGCCUACCAAGUCUGCGAUCAGUAGCCGGACUGAGAGGUUGAACGGCCACAUUGGAACUGAGAUACGGUCCAGACUCC
rnacentral:rRNA from 1 species